GGUUAAGCGACUAAGCGUACACGGUGGAUGCCCUGGCAGUCAGAGGCGAUGAAGGGCGUGCUAAUCUGCGAUAAGCGCCGGUAAGGUGAUAUGAACCGUUAUAACCGGCGAUACCCGAAUGGGGAAACCCAGUGUGACUCGUCACACUAUCAUUAACUGAAUCCAUAGGUUAAUGAGGCGAACCGGGGGAACUGAAACAUCUAAGUACCCCGAGGAAAAGAAAUCAACCGAGAUUCCCCCAGUAGCGGCGAGCGAACGGGGAGGAGCCCAGAGCCUGAAUCAGCAUGUGUGUUAGUGGAAGCGUCUGGAAAGGCGCGCGAUACAGGGUGACAGCCCCGUACACAAAAGCGCAUGUGCUGUGAGCUCGAUGAGUAGGGCGGGACACGUGGUAUCCUGUCUGAAUAUGGGGGGACCAUCCUCCAAGGCUAAAUACUCCUGACUGACCGAUAGUGAACCAGUACCGUGAGGGAAAGGCGAAAAGAACCCCGGCGAGGGGAGUGAAAAAGAACCUGAAACCGUGUACGUACAAGCAGUGGGAGCACAGGUUUACCUGUGUGACUGCGUACCUUUUGUAUAAUGGGUCAGCGACUUAUAUUCUGUAGCAAGGUUAACCGUAUAGGGGAGCCGGAGGGAAACCGAGUCUUAA
rnacentral:rRNA from 2 species